CCUACGGGGGGCAGCAGUGAGGAAUAUUGGUCAAUGGGCGCAAGCCUGAACCAGCCAAGUAGCGUGAAGGAUGACUGCCCUACGGGUUGUAAACUUCUUUUAUAAAGGAAUAAAGUGAAGCAUGUGUGCCUUUUUGCAUGUACCUUAUGAAUAAGGAUCGUCUAACUCCGUGCCAGCAGCCGCGGUAAUACGGAGGAUCCGAGCGUUAUCCGGAUUUGUUGGGUUUAAAGGGAGCGUAGGUGGGUUGUUAAGUCAGUUGUGAAAGUUUGCGGCUCAACCGUAAAAUUGCAAUUGAUACUGGCAGUCUUGAGUACAGUAGAGGUAGGCGGAAUUCGUGGUGUAGCGGUGAAAUGCUUAGAUAUCACGAAGAACUCCGAUUGCGAAGGCAGCUUACUGGACUGUCACUGACGUUGAUGCUCGAAAGUGUGGGUAUCAAACAGGAUUAGAUACCCGUGUAGUC
rnacentral:rRNA from 1 species